AACGAACGCUGGCGGCAGGCCUAAAACAUGCAAGUCGAACGGGUGUAGCAAUACAUCAGUGGCGCACGGGUGAGUAACGCGUGGGAACAUGCCCCUUAGUACGGGACAACGUCGGGAAACUGACGCUAAUACCGUAUAAUAUCUCCGGAUCAAAGAUUUAUCGCUGAGGGAGUGGCCCGCGUCUGAUUAGCUAGUUGGUGAGGUAAUGGCUCACCAAGGCUACGAUCAGUAGCAGGUCUGAGAGGAUGAUCUGCCACACUGGGACUGAGACACGGCCCAGACUCCUACGGGAGGCAGCAGUUAGGAAUAUUGGGCAAUGGGCGAAAGCCUGAUCCAGCCAUGCCGCGUGUGUGAUGAAGGCCUUAGGGUUGUAAAGCACUUUCGUUGGGGAUGAUAAUGACCGUACCCAGAGAAGAAGCACCGGCUAACUUCGUGCCAGCAGCCGCGGUAA
rnacentral:rRNA from 1 species